rnacentral:lncRNA from 1 species
AUGGAAAAUAUAUGGAAGCUCUUCCUUUUUGUCACACAAAUCAGGGUCCUUUACAAGGUGCCAGUGUAUGGGAGGAUAAGGAUAAAAUUUUAGGUUUAAAUUCAAACUUUUUGAAUCCAACUUAAAACAAAACUAAUCCAAUCCAAAGAAAAUAACAAAAAGGGUGUUAGCUUCUAGUUUUCUCAUGCACAAACUAAUUUUGUGCAAUGAGAAAAUGCAUGAGUCCUUCUGGGUGGU